AAUUCUUAUGUUAUUGUUUUCCACAAUUUUUUGAGCAGCAAUGAGAGGUAAAGAGAGGGAGAGAGACGUCUAGGCUUAUUGGGUCAAAAGUGCUAAAAAUUGUUGAGUUUUGUGGUGGCCAUUAGCAAGGACACUAGUUGGACUUUCAUAAUCUAUUCGAGGAUUAUAUUAUUUCAUUUUCAGGCUUACGUGUGCCUUGAGCUAAGUCCCUGUGGGCCACGGCCGGUCAUGCUCGGAUUUGGGGUGUGACAAUGACUGCUGGAAAAUGGUUGUAUUUAUAGACAAUCCAAGGCUGUCCGAACAGGUAUGAAUCUGC